GAUGCCCAGCUUGCUGGGUUGAUUAGUGGCGAACGGGUGAGUAAUACGUGAGUAACCUGCCCUUGACUCUGGGAUAAGCCUGGGAAACUGGGUCUAAUACUGGAUACUACCUCCUGCCGCAUGGUGGGUGGUGGAAAGGGUUUUACUGGUUUUGGAUGGGCUCACGGCCUAUCAGCUUGUUGGUGGGGUAAUGGCUCACCAAGGCGACGACGGGUAGCCGGCCUGAGAGGGUGACCGGCCACACUGGGACUGAGACACGGCCCAGACUCCUACGGGAGGCAGCAGUGGGGAAUAUUGCACAAUGGGCGGAAGCCUGAUGCAGCGACGCCGCGUGAGGGAUGACGGCCUUCGGGUUGUAAACCUCUUUCAGUAGGGAAGAAGCGAGAGUGACGGUACCUGCAGAAGAAGCGCCGGCUAACUACGUGCCAGCAGCCGCGGUAAUACGUAGGGCGCAAGCGUUGUCCGGAAUUAUUGGGCGUAAAGAGCUCGUAGGCGGUUUGUCGCGUCUGCUGUGAAAGCCCGGGGCUCAACCCCGGGUCUGCAGUGGGUACGGGCAGACUAGAGUGCAGUAGGGGAGACUGGAAUUCCUGGUGUAGCGGUGAAAUGCGCAGAUAUCAGGAGGAACACCGAUGGCGAAGGCAGGUCUCUGGGCUGUUACUGACGCUGAGGAGCGAAAGCAUGGGGAGCGAACAGGAUUAGAUACC
rnacentral:rRNA from 1 species